CCCGAAGUAUCCUGAAUCUUUCGCAUUGUUAAUCAUACAAGUGCUUAUAAUAAACACAAAAAUCAAUGAUAAUUAUGCCAUUAUAUAAUUCCGAAAAAUUAACGCACUGUAUUCUUAUUAGUCUAUCAACACUUUAUCAAAUUAAUGACAUUUAUUCUAUGUUAAAAUGCAAGCAUAAUAAUUUGAAUAAACUAUAAGCCAUAUUUUAUGAUAAAUUUAAUAUGUUAAUAGAUUACAAUGUCCUUAUAUGGAAAAAAUGCACAUUAUUUGUAUAAUAUUGUUUAAAUAUUAUAACUUUAAUGAUGAAUUUUCCAUAACGGAUAUUCAGGUUCAUCGGGC
rnacentral:rRNA from 1 species